UGGGGAAUCUUAGACAAUGGGGGAAACCCUGAUCUAGCCAUGCCGCGUGAGCGAUGAAGGCCUUAGGGUUGUAAAGCUCUUUCAGCUGGGAAGAUAAUGACGGUACCAGCAGAAGAAGCCCCGGCUAACUCCGUGCCAGCAGCCGCGGUAAUACGGAGGGGGCUAGCGUUGUUCGGAAUUACUGGGCGUAAAGCGCACGUAGGCGGAUUAGUCAGUCAGAGGUGAAAUCCCAGGGCUCAACCCUGGAACUGCCUUUGAUACUGCUAGUCUUGAGGUCGAGAGAGGUGAGUGGAAUUCCCGAGUGUAGAGGUGAAAUUCGUAGAUAUUCGGAGGAACACCAGUGGCGAAGGCGGCUCACUGGCUCGAUACUGACGCUGAGGUGC
rnacentral:rRNA from 1 species